GACAGAGGUGCCGAGCGUUAGGCGGAAUCACUGGGCUUAAAGCGUGUGUAGGCGGAUCUGUAAGUACCUUGUGAAAUCCCACGGCUCAACCGUGGAACUGCUUGGUAUACUGCGGGUCUUGAGCCACCUAGGGGCAAGUGGAACAAACGGUGGAGCGGUGAAAUGCGUAGAUAUCGUCUGGAACGCCGAAGGUGAAAACAGCUCGCUGGGGCCGCGCUGACGCUGAGACACGAAAGCCAGGGGAGCGAACGGG
rnacentral:rRNA from 1 species